AGCUGGGGGCAGGGCGAGAGGGCGGGAGAGCGAGGGACAGGGAUGGACGGGCCGUGAGACGGGUAGCAGCGGUGUGGGCGGCGACAGAGAGGCUCCCGGAGAGCAGGGAGACACCCUUAACGCAACAAGAAGUCCCUGGGAAGGAGGACUGGGACAGGAGACAGGCUUCUGGGGGAGGGGCGCAGGAUUGGGGUGCUGAGGACCAGGCCAGGGUCUGAGUAUGCCGCACCCAGCCCCGCUCGCGGCUGAAGCCCAGUAAACACCCAAAGCUCUGUUCUGAGGAGCUCUCCCUGGUGUGGUCCCCGGGUGCAGGGACACCUAUCCUUAGGUGCCUGUCCACCUGGCUCUGUCUGCAGCAGAUCCAGCCCAGAGCCAGCCUCCCUUGGAAGUCCCCUGAAGAGCCUUUUCCUUCCAGCUCCCUCAGGCAGGGAAUGCUCAAAGCCCCUCUCAGAGCUUCUGUCCAUUCGCAGGCAGAUGUACGAUGAAGAGGACCAGAGCCCAGCCCUGACCCGGCGCCUGCCGGGCUGAGCAGCCCUGCUCCUAUGCCUUGAGGGUACUGCAGAUUAGACUCACUAAAGUGGGCGGAAAAGGUGGAAGCCAUGUGACGUGAAGACCAAGGUCAGGAGCUGCUCCCAAGACCCCGGCCUGGCCACCUCAGCGUUCCCAGGGUCCUCUCUCCAUCGGACUUGGGUCUUGGUCACUGCAGAGUCAGGCCAUGUCCACAAGGAGCCCCUGGAGUUCCCCAGCUGUGAAGAGGAGGCAAAGGGGGCAGCACCAGCAGUGGCGGCAGUGGGUUCUCCCUGGCCUGUGUGGAGAGUUUUCAGGCAGAGAAAGGCCUUCUACACCAACCAGAGGUGCUGUGAUUGGCCAAAACGGAGUGGGCCAGAUGAAAGGAGGAGGGGCUGGGAGCCAGGGACACCCACCAGCAGGUAAGACCCUGGGCCACCCUUAGACCUGGAGAGCCUUCAGCAGACAUGUCCUUCCUGCACAGGUCUGAGUGCUGCCCCUCUGCACUGUGUGCUUCUGGUUAGUAGUCAGCUGGUGAGGCCUGGGGCAGGGGCUCGCAUGUGCUGGGGCAGUGCCAUCCCCAGGAAUGGUGAGUUGGGGUUCUAUGCGCUGACCCUUGAGAGGGUGUCAGGGUACCUCCAAGGUCUCCAGGACAUGCUUUGUCCUGGAGAGACCCCAUGGUCGGCACUGGGGACACUUGGAGACUAUAUAAGCUGAUGAUGCCCGGUGAUAGACUGAUCACACUGAGCAGCAUGGGCUUAUAGUACUGAACAACUAACUCUCCAAAGCUCUGAACCCUAACUGCUAAAUUAAUAAGUGAUGUUAAUGCCAAAUAAUUCCUAGCCCUUGACUAUCUAUUGCUUUGGUCUAACUUGUCCCCCAAACUUCCCAAGUUAGAAACAGAAUCCCAAGGCCACAGGGUUGGGAGAUGGUGCUGUGAGCAGGCAGCUGGGUCAGGAGGGCCCCACCUUCAUGCUGAGUGAGUUUACCAUGUGGAGGCCUUGUGGGAGGGUUUCCCUUGGCUUCCUGCCUUCCAUUGUGAGAUGACACAGCAAGGCCUGACCAGAGGCCAGCACCUGACCUCGAACUUCCCAGCCUCCAGAACCAUGAGCAGAGAAUCUCUGUUCAUUACAAGGACCCUGUCUCAGGCAUCCUAUUGCAGCAGCACAGAAGCGACUCUGUGGAUAACGACUCUUGGACUACUGAGUACUAAGCAGUGCUGAAUAACAGUGUCAUGUGCUAAUUAAUACCAGCCACAGCCGCCCAGCACUGCAAGAUCACCAAGUGCAGCAGUGCCCCUGGGCUGGCCUGGGGCUCCUGAGAACCUGUGAGGCAGCUGGACUCAGAGAAGUCAAGCAUCCUCCCCAAGGUCACACAGCAAAUGAGCAGUUCAAAGGCUUGAGCCAGGCCAGUAUGACUUCCUCCCAGAAGCCCGGGUCCCCUAUGGCUAUGGGCUGUGUCCCCCCAGCUCAGCCUCCUCUCCUUGCUAGCCUCUUUCUGCGUCUGAAUCAUUGUCACUGUGACCCAGCAAGCUGCCACGGUGGGGGUUGGGGAGCCAGAUGGAAAGAAGAGGUACAGCUCUGCCCCUCCUGGCGUCCCCAGGGCCCCUCAAACUGUUUGGGGAGACACGGGCAGCCCCUCUACCCCCACCUGUCACUGGCUGGGGUUUCGUAAGCCUUGGGAAUGAAGAGCCAGCUAAAAUUAACCAUUCUCAAGCUGUCAGCCCUGGAAAUAAA